UUUUUCACAGAGAACUGGAGGGGAACAGGAUAUCAUCUUUGUGGGUUUCCAGCUUUCAAAACUGCACCACUCUGACAGUAUUGGCUCUUCGAAAAAACAGAGUACAUACCAUUGAGGAGGGAAUAUUUUUUGGAAUGCCAAACCUGAUAGACCUGGACAUAUCUGUAAACAAAUUUGAGGAGUUCUCCCCAACUAUGUUUAGAAAUCUUCUAAACC
rnacentral:lncRNA from 1 species